GGAGAGCGUCGUCCUGAGAGGAGUGAAGGCGGCAAAAUGGCGGACCGCUUCUCCCGCUUCAACGAAGACCGAGACUUUCAGGGUAAUCACUUUGAUCAGUAUGAGGAAGGACACUUGGAAAUUGAACAAGCAUCACUUGACAAGCCUAUAGAAUCGGUAAGAUAAUCAGUGCUUAAUUUCGGGUCUUAGCUAGUUAGGUAGUGUUCGUGUGACACUUGAUGUGAGUGAAGUUAAACUUAUUAAUAACCAAUAGUACAGUUUAGAGUUGUUUUCUUGCAUGCCAUACAGUAAUCAAUUAAAGCUUGGGAUGUAAUCUAAUAUUUAAUAUGUUGGGAAAUCAGUCCAAAAAAUCUAGAAACACAUUAGAAUUUUGAUGGCAAAAUAUCUUUUUGGCCCAUACCGAUACUUUGUUGAAGGUAGCAAGUUAAAGUUUAGUAUUUUGUGAAUUGAAUAAAGGAGUAAAAUGUAUUUUGAUCCUUUAUAGCUUCACCUUUCCUGGGCAAUAUAAUUAUGUAUGAAAUGUUCCUACAUAAGUAGAAUAUGUAUGGAAAUUUUUUUUUU
rnacentral:sRNA from 1 species